CCUGCCUCGGCAGGUCGGAAUGUGGCCACCCUCGUGGUGAAGGGACCGCCCCGGAACGGCUGAACCAUCGA
rnacentral:ncRNA from 1 species